rnacentral:rRNA from 1 species
ACUAAGCGUACACGGUGGAUGCCCUGGCAGUCAGAGGCGAUGAAGGGCGUGCUAAUCUGCGAUAAGCGCCGGUAAGGUGAUAUGAACCGUUAUAACCGGCGAUACCCGAAUGGGGAAACCCAGUGUGAUUCGUCACACUAUCAUUAACUGAAUCCAUAGGUUAAUGAGGCGAACCGGGGGAACUGAAACAUCUAAGUACCCCGAGGAAAAGAAAUCAACCGAGAUUCCCCCAGUAGCGGCGAGCGAACGGGGAGGAGCCCAGAGCCUGAAUCAGCAUGUGUGUUAGUGGAAGCGUCUGGAAAGGUGCGCGAUACAGGGUGACAGCCCCGUACACAAAAGCGCAUGUGCUGUGAGCUCGAUGAGUAGGGCGGGACACGUGGUAUCCUGUCUGAAUAUGGGGGGACCAUCCUCCAAGGCUAAAUACUCCUGACUGACCGAUAGUGAACCAGUACCGUGAGGGAAAGGCGAAAAGAACCCCGGCGAGGGGAGUGAAAAAGAACCUGAAACCGUGUACGUACAAGCAGUGGGAGCACAGGUUUACCUGUGUGACUGCGUACCUUUUGUAUAAUGGGUCAGCGACUUAUAUUCUGUAGCAAGGUUAACCGUAUAGGGGAGCCGUAGGGAAACCGAGUCUUAACCGGGCGUUAAGUUGCAGGGUAUAGACCCGAAACCCGGUGAUCUAGCCAUGGGCAGGUUGAAGGUUGGGUAACACUAACUGGAGGACCGAACCGACUAAUGUUGAAAAAUUAGCGGAUGACCUGUGGCUGGGGGUGAAAGGCCAAUCAAACCGGGAGAUAGCUGGUUCUCCCCGAAAGCUAUUUAGGUAGCGCCUCGUGAAUUCAUCUCCGGGGGUAGAGCACUGUUUCGGCUAGGGGGCCAUCCCGGCUUACCAACCCGAUGCAAACUGCGAAUACCGGAGAAUGUUAUCACGGGAGACACACGGCGGGUGCUAACGUCCGUCGUGAAGAGGGAAACAACCCAGACCGCCAGCUAAGGUCCCAAAGUCAUGGUUAAGUGGGAAACGAUGUGGGAAGGCCCAGACAGCCAGGAUGUUGGCUUAGAAGCAGCCAUCAUUUAAAGAAAGCGUAAUAGCUCACUGGUCGAGUCGGCCUGCGCGGAAGAUGUAACGGGGCUAAACCAUGCACCGAAGCUGCGGCAGCGAACGUAUCACCCAAGACAACUUUACGGAGUUGACGAUUGACGGAGCGAAGCGACGUCAAAGCGUUCAUUAAAGUCGAGUUGGCUUAGGGAUACGUUCGUUGGGUAGGGGAGCGUUCUGUAAGCCUGUGAAGGUGUGUCGUGAGGCAUGCUGGAGGUAUCAGAAGUGCGAAUGCUGACAUAAGUAACGAUAAAGCGGGUGAAAAGCCCGCUCGCCGGAAGACCAAGGGUUCCUGUCCAACGUUAAUCGGGGCAGGGUGAGUCGACCCCUAAGGCGAGGCCGAAAGGCGUAGUCGAUGGGAAACGGGUUAAUAUUCCCGUACUUGGUGUUACUGCGAAGGGGGGACGGAGAAGGCUAUGUUGGCCGGGCGACGGUUGUCCCGGUUUAAGCGUGUAGGUGUGUGUUCCAGGUAAAUCCGGUUCACUUUAACACUGAGGCGUGACGACGAGGCACUACGGUGCUGAAGCAACAAAUGCCCUGCUUCCAGGAAAAGCCUCUAAGCAUCAGGUAACACGAAAUCGUACCCCAAACCGACACAGGUGGUCAGGUAGAGAAUACCAAGGCGCUUGAGAGAACUCGGGUGAAGGAACUAGGCAAAAUGGUGCCGUAACUUCGGGAGAAGGCACGCUGACACGUAGGUGAAGUGAUUUACUCAUGGAGCUGAAGUCAGUCGAAGAUACCAGCUGGCUGCAACUGUUUAUUAAAAACACAGCACUGUGCAAACACGAAAGUGGACGUAUACGGUGUGACGCCUGCCCGGUGCCGGAAGGUUAAUUGAUGGGGUCAGCGUAAGCGAAGCUCCUGAUCGAAGCCCCGGUAAACGGCGGCCGUAACUAUAACGGUCCUAAGGUAGCGAAAUUCCUUGUCGGGUAAGUUCCGACCUGCACGAAUGGCGUAAUGAUGGCCAGGCUGUCUCCACCCGAGACUCAGUGAAAUUGAACUCGCUGUGAAGAUGCAGUGUACCCGCGGCAAGACGGAAAGACCCCGUGAACCUUUACUAUAGCUUGACACUGAACAUUGAGCCUUGAUGUGUAGGAUAGGUGGGAGGCUUUGAAGUGUGGACGCCAGUCUGCAUGGAGCCGACCUUGAAAUACCACCCUUUAAUGUUUGAUGUUCUAACGUGGACCCGUAAUCCGGGUUGCGGACAGUGUCUGGUGGGUAGUUUGACUGGGGCGGUCUCCUCCUAAAGAGUAACGGAGGAGCACGAAGGUUGGCUAAUCCUGGUCGGACAUCAGGAGGUUAGUGCAAUGGCAUAAGCCAGCUUGACUGCGAGCGUGACGGCGCGAGCAGGUGCGAAAGCAGGUCAUAGUGAUCCGGUGGUUCUGAAUGGAAGGGCCAUCGCUCAACGGAUAAAAGGUACUCCGGGGAUAACAGGCUGAUACCGCCCAAGAGUUCAUAUCGACGGCGGUGUUUGGCACCUCGAUGUCGGCUCAUCACAUCCUGGGGCUGAAGUAGGUCCCAAGGGUAUGGCUGUUCGCCAUUUAAAGUGGUACGCGAGCUGGGUUUAGAACGUCGUGAGACAGUUCGGUCCCUAUCUGCCGUGGGCGCUGGAGAACUGAGGGGGGCUGCUCCUAGUACGAGAGGACCGGAGUGGACGCAUCACUGGUGUUCGGGUUGUCAUGCCAAUGGCACUGCCCGGUAGCUAAAUGCGGAAGAGAUAAGUGCUGAAAGCAUCUAAGCACGAAACUUGCCCCGAGAUGAGUUCUCCCUGAGACUUAGAGUCUCCUGAAGGAACGUUGAAGACGACGACGUUGAUAGGCCGGGUGUGUAAGCGCAGCGAUGCGUUGAGCUAACCGGUACUAAUGAACCGUGAGGCUUAACC